GUGUCAGCAGCCGCGGUAAUACGUAGGUGGCAAGCGUUGUCCGGAUUUAUUGGGUUUAAAGGGUGCGUAGGCGGUCCUGUAAGUCAGUUGUGAAAUACGGCAGCUUAACUGUCGAGGUGCAAUUGAUACUGCGGGACUAGAGUACUGAUGAGGUAAGCGGAAUGGACGGUGUAGCGGUGAAAUGCUUAGAUAUCGUCCAGAACACCGAUAGCGAAGGCAGCUUACUAAGGAGUAACUGACGCUGAGGCACGAAAGUGUGGGGAUCAAACAGGAUUAGAAACCCCCGUAGUCC
rnacentral:rRNA from 1 species